GUGGGGAAUAUUGGACAAUGGGCGAAAGCCUGAUCCAGCCAUGCCGCGUGUGUGAAGAAGGUCUUCGGAUUGUAAAGCACUUUAAGUUGGGAGGAAGGGCAGUAAGUUAAUACCUUGCUGUUUUGACGUUACCGACAGAAUAAGCACCGGCUAACUUCGUGCCAGCAGCCGCGGUAAUACGAAGGGUGCAAGCGUUAAUCGGAAUUACUGGGCGUAAAGCGCGCGUAGGUGGUUUUGUAAGUUGGAGGUGAAAUCCCCGGGCUCAACCUGGGAACUGCCUCCAAAACUGCAUGACUAGAGUACGGUAGAGGGUAGUGGAAUUUCCUGUGUAGCGGUGAAAUGCGUAGAUAUAGGAAGGAACACCAGUGGCGAAGGCGACUACCUAGACUGAUACUGACACUGAGGUGCGAAAGCGUGGGGAGCAAACAGGAUUAGAAACCCUGGUAGUCC
rnacentral:rRNA from 1 species